GAAGCACUUCUUACAGAGGUAUGGGCAAAAUUUGACUGCAAUUUGUACAAAUUUUGUCCAUACCUUUGUAUAAAGAUGUGUUCUUUAACAUUUUCAAUCUUAAAUUUGUCGUUUAGGAGUUAAAUGUGUACAAUUUCAAUCAAAUUUUGUCCAUGCCUUUGUAAGAAGUGCUUC